AACGCGAAGAACCUUACCAAGGUUUGACAUGCAGGGAAAAGCCGUAGAGAUACGGUGUCCGUAAGGGCCCUGCACAGGUGGUGCAUGGCUGUCGUCAGCUCGUGUCGUGAGAUGUUGGGUUAAGUCCCGCAACGAGCGCAACCCUCGUCCUAUGUUGCCAGCGGGUAAUGCCGGGGACUCAUAGGAGACUGCCGGGGUCAACUCGGAGGAAGGUGGGGAUGACGUCAAGUCCUCAUGCCCCUUAUGUCUUGGGCUGCAAACAUGCUACAAUGGCCAGUACAAAGGGUUGCGAGACCGCAAGGUGGAGCGAAUCCCAAAAAAGCUGGUCUCAGUUCGGAUUGGGGUCUGCAACUCGACCCCAUGAAGUCGGAGUCGCUAGUAAUCGCAGAUCAGCAACGCUGCGGUGAAUACGUUCCCGGGCCUUGUA
rnacentral:rRNA from 1 species